rnacentral:rRNA from 1 species
AGAGUUUGAUUCUGGCUCAGAACGAACGCUGGCGGCGUGGAUAAGACAUGCAAGUCGAACGAGAGAAUUGCUAGCUUGCUAAUAAUUCUCUAGUGGCGCACGGGUGAGUAACACGUGAGUAACCUGCCCCCGAGAGCGGGAUAGCCCUGGGAAACUGGGAUUAAUACCGCAUAGUAUCGAAAGAUUAAAGCAGCAAUGCGCUUGGGGAUGGGCUCGCGGCCUAUUAGUUAGUUGGUGAGGUAACGGCUCACCAAGGCGAUGACGGGUAGCCGGUCUGAGAGGAUGUCCGGCCACACUGGAACUGAGACACGGUCCAGACACCUACGGGUGGCAGCAGUCGAGAAUCAUUCACAAUGGGGGAAACCCUGAUGGUGCGACGCCGCGUGGGGGAAUGAAGGUCUUCGGAUUGUAAACCCCUGUCAUGUGGGAGCAAAUUAAAAAGAUAGUACCACAAGAGGAAGAGACGGCUAACUCUGUGCCAGCAGCCGCGGUAAUACAGAGGUCUCAAGCGUUGUUCGGAAUCACUGGGCGUAAAGCGUGCGUAGGCUGUUUCGUAAGUCGUGUGUGAAAGGCGCGGGCUCAACCCGCGGACGGCACAUGAUACUGCGAGACUAGAGUAAUGGAGGGGGAACCGGAAUUCUCGGUGUAGCAGUGAAAUGCGUAGAUAUCGAGAGGAACACUCGUGGCGAAGGCGGGUUCCUGGACAUUAACUGACGCUGAGGCACGAAGGCCAGGGGAGCGAAAGGGAUUAGAUACCCCUGUAGUCCUGGCAGUAAACGGUGCACGCUUGGUGUGCGGGGAAUCGACCCCCUGCGUGCCGGAGCUAACGCGUUAAGCGUGCCGCCUGGGGAGUACGGUCGCAAGAUUAAAACUCAAAGAAAUUGACGGGGACCCGCACAAGCGGUGGAGUAUGUGGCUUAAUUCGAUGCAACGCGAAGAACCUUACCUGGG